AUGCAAAGCAUGAAUGACCGCCUGGCCUCCUACCUGGAGAGUGAGGAGCCUGGAGACUGAGAACCCGAAGCUGAAGAGCAAAAUCCUGAAGAGCAAAAUCCGGGAGCACCUGGAGAAGAAGGGACCCCAGGACAGAGACUGGAGCCAUUACUUCAAGACCAUCGAGGAACUGAGUGCUCAGAUCUUCGCAAAUAUUGUGGACAAUGCCCACAUCGUUCUGCAGAUAGACAAUGCCCGUCUUGCUGCUGAUGACCUUAGAGUCAAGUAUGAGACAGAGCUGGCCAUGCGUCAGUCUGUGGAGAGUGACAUCCAUGGGCUCUGCAAGGUCAUUGAUGACACUAAUGUCACUCAGCUGCAGCAGGGAGACAGAGAUCAAGGCUCUCAAAGAGGAGCUGCUCUUCAUGAAGAAGAACUAGGAAGAGGAAGUAAAAGGCUUACAAGCCCAGAUUGACAGCUCUGGGUUGACCAUGGAGGUAGAAGCCCCCAAAUCGCAGGACCUCACCAAGAUCAUGGCAGACAUUCGGCCCAAUACGAUGAGCUGGCUGGGAAGAACUGAGAGAAGCUGGACAAGUAUUGGUCUCAGCAGAUUGAAGAGAGCACCACAGUGGUCAUCACACAGUCUGCUGAGGUUGGAGCUGCUAAGAUGACGCUCACGGAGCUGAGACAUACAGUCUAGUCCUUGGAGAUCGACUUGGACUCCAUGAGAAAUCUGAAGGCCAGCUUGGAGAACAGCCUGAGGGAGGUGGAGGCCUGCUAUGCCCUGCAGAUGGGGCAGCUCAACGCCAUCCUGCUGCACCUGGAGUCAGAGCUGGCACAGACUCGGGCAGAGGGACAGCACCAGGCCCAGGAGUACGAAGCCCUGCUGAACAUCAAGGUCAAGCUGGAGACUGAGAUUACCACCUACUGCAGCCCACUGGAAGACGGGGAGAACUUCAAUCAUGGUGAUGCGCUGAACAGCAGCAGCUCAAUGGAAACAACCAAAAGUCCACCACCUGCAGGAUAGUGGAUGACAAAGUGGUGUCUGAGACCAACGACACCAAAGUUCUGAGACAUUAA